UAGGUGCAUGGGUAGGGGAGCGUUGUAUGUACGUUGAAUUCUGACCGUAAGGACAGGUGGAGCGCAUACAAGUGAGAAUGCCGGUAUAAGUAACGAAAAGAUCAGUGAGAAUCUGAUCCGCCGAAAACCUAAGGGUUCCUGAGGAAGGCUCGUCCGCUCAGGGUAAGUCGGGACCUAAGGCGAGGCCGAAAGGCGUAGUCGAUGGACAACAGGUGGAAAUUCCUGUACCACCGUAGCCGUUAUGAGCAAUGGAGUGACGCAGAAGGAUAGUGACGCGAGCUGAUGGAUGCUCGUCCAAGCAGUGAGGCUGGUUAGUAGGAAAAUCCGCUAACCGUAAGGCUGGGCUGUGAUGGGGAGGGAAAUUUAAGUACCGAAGGUCAUGAUUUCACACUGCCAAGAAAAGCUUCUAGCCAGGCGAAGGUGCCCGUACCGCAAACCGACACAGGUGGGUGAGAAGAGAAUUCUAAGGCGCGCGGAAGAACUCUCGUUAAGGAACUCGGCAAAAUGACCCCGUAACUUCGGGAGAAGGGGUGCCUCGGUAGGGUGAAUAGCCCGAGGGGGCCGCAGUGAAAAGGCCCAAGCGACUGUUUAGCAAAAACACAGGUCUGUGCGAAGCCGCAAGGCGAAGUAUACGGGCUGACGCCUGCCCGGUGCUGGAAGGUUAAGAGGAGUGGUUAGGGGCAACCCGAAGCUAUGAAUUGAAGCCCCAGUAAACGGCGGCCGUAACGAUAACGGUCCUAAGGUAGCGAAAUUCCUUGUCAGGUAAAUUCUGACCCGCACGAAUGGUGUAACGACUUGGGCGCUGUCUCAACGAGAGAUCCGGUGAAAUUUUAAUACCUGUGAAGAUGCAGGUUACCCGCGACAAGACGGAAAGACCCCAUGGAGCUUUACUGCAGCUUGAUAUUGGACUUUGGUACGAUCUGUACAGGAUAGGUGGGAGCCUUUGGAGCCUGAGCGCCAGCUUGGGUGGAGGCGCCGUUGGGAUACCACCCUGAUCGUAUCGGAGUUCUAACCUGGUACCGUGAACCGGUAUGGGGACAGUGUCAGGUGGGCAGUUUGACUGGGGCGGUCGCCUCCUAAAAUGUAACGGAGGCGUUUAAAGGUUCCCUCAGAAUGGUUGGAAAUCAUUCGCAGAGUGCAAAGGCAUAAGGGAGCUUGACUGCGAGACCUACAAGUCGAGCAGGGACGAAAGUCGGACUUAGUGAUCCGGUGGUACCGAAUGGAAGGGCCAUCGCUCAACGGAUAAAAGCUACCCUGGGGAUAACAGGCUUAUCUCCCCCAAGAGUCCACAUCGACGGGGAGGUUUGGCACCUCGAUGUCGGCUCAUCGCAUCCUGGGGCUGAAGUAGGUCCCAAGGGUUGGGCUGUUCGCCCAUUAAAGCGGUACGCGAGCUGGGUUCAGAACGUCGUGAGACAGUUCGGUCCCUAUCUGUCGCGGGCGUAGGAAAUUUGAGAGGACCUGUCCUUAGUACGAGAGGACCGGGAUGGACGUACCGCUGGUGUACCAGUUGUCUCGCCAGAGGCACCGCUGGGUAGCUAUGUACGGAGGGGAUAAGCGCUGAAAGCAUCUAAGCGCGAAGCCCCCCUCAAGAUGAGAUUUCCCAGUAUGUAAGACCCCUUGUAGACGACGAGGUUGAUAGGUUCGAGGUGGAAGUGCAGCAAUGCAUGCAGCUGACGAAUACUAAUCGGUCGAGGGCUUAACCUA
rnacentral:rRNA from 1 species